ACUCCUACGGGAGGCAGCAGUAAGGAAUAUUGGUCAAUGGGGGCAACCCUGAACCAGCCAUGCCGCGUGCAGGAAGACGGCCCUCUGGGUUGUAAACUGCUUUUAUCCGGGAAUAAACCCCCUUACGUGUAAGGGGCUGAAUGUACCGGAAGAAUAAGGAUCGGCUAACUCCGUGCCAGCAGCCGCGGUAAUACGGAGGAUCCAAGCGUUAUCCGGAUUUAUUGGGUUUAAAGGGUGCGUAGGCGGCCUGUUAAGUCAGGGGUGAAAGACGGUGGCUCAACCAUCGCAGUGCCUUUGAUACUGACGGGCUUGAAUACACUUGAAGUAGGCGGAAUGUGACAAGUAGCGGUGAAAUGCAUAGAUAUGUCACAGAACACCGAUUGCGAAGGCAGCUUACUAAGGUGCAAUUGACGCUGAGGCACGAAAGCGUGGGGAUCAAACAGGAUUAGAUACCCUGGUAGUCCACGCCCUAAACGAUGAAUACUCGAUGUUAGCGAUAUACAGUUAGCGUCUAAGCGAAGGCGUUAAGUAUUCCACCUGGGGAGUACGCCCGCAAGGGUGAAACUCAAAGGAAUUGACGGGGGCCCGCACAAGCGGAGGAGCAUGUGGUUUAAUUCGAUGAUACGCGAGGAACCUUACCCGGGCUUGAAAGUUACUGAAGUAUCCAGAGAUGGAUGCGUCCGC
rnacentral:rRNA from 1 species